GGCUGUGGCUCAGUGGUAGAGCGCUUACCUAGCAUGUGUGAGAUUCUGGCUUCGAUCCUCAACAUCA
rnacentral:tRNA from 1 species